UACGUAGGGGGCAAGCGUUAUCCGGAAUUACUGGGUGUAAAGGGUGAGUAGGCGGCAUGGUAAGUUAGAUGUGAAAGCCCCGGGCUUAACCUGGGGAUUGCAUUUAAAACUAUCAAGCUAGAGUACAGGAGAGGAAAGCGGAAUUCCUAGUGUAGCGGUGAAAUGCGUAGAUAUUAGGAAGAACACCAGUGGCGAAGGCGGCUUUCUGGACUGAAAUUGACGCUGAGGCACGAAAGCGUGGGGGGCGAAC
rnacentral:rRNA from 1 species